GCGAACACGUAUCGCUCAUUGUUUUUUUAUCAUCUUGAAACACUUCGCGCUCUCAACCGUACGAGACUUCUUAUAAGACUCUACGUCUACACAAUUUUUUUUUCCAAAUUCUUUUUCGAAGUUUUCGAGAUAGUGCAACAUGGAUAGUGAACUUCGAAUUUAGAAUGAAGAUUUUUUCUUUUUUUUUUCGAAAUGAAAUCACUUGUCAACUUAUACGAAAGCAAGGGAGCAAAGCGAAUGCGAGUGGCGUAAGGUUGUACGAUUAUUUUUGUCGAUAGUCAACUGGCUCUACAUUUCUGAAUGAUCAACUCAAACAUUUAAAAUAAAAACAAAAAAUAAUAAAUCAAAUGGAAGUGAAAUAUUCCAACUUCGAAAUAAGUGAAGGAAGUGCCAUCUAGUGUCGGGAAAUGAAAAAAAAAAUACAGAGGCGCUGAAAAUAGUGUCAAGGAAAAUUGAAAAUAAAAAGAAAACAGAAAAUAAGAACGUUCAGCAUGAAGUUUUACUACUGAACUAUGAGAUAUUGGAUUGAACCGCUGCACUGUCAUGAGAUUCGAACGUGUCGGAAACUGGAAAAAAAACAUCGCCGCGCCCAACCUGUUGUGGUUGGGGACAUUUGG